UACAGAGGUCUCAAGCGUUGUUCGGAUUCAUUGGGCGUAAAGGGUGCGUAGGUGGCGAGGUUAGUCAGGUGUGAAAUCUCGGGGCUCAACCCCGAAACUGCACUUGAUACUGCCUUGCUAGAGUACUGGAGAGGAGACUGGAAUUUACGGUGUAGCGGUGAAAUGCGUAGAUAUCGUAAGGAAGACCAGUGGCGAAGGCGGGUCUCUGGACAGUUCCUGACGCUGAGGCACGAAGGCCAGGGGAGCAAACGGG
rnacentral:rRNA from 1 species